AGUGGCGGACGGGUGAGUAACGCGUGAGAAUCUGCCUUGGGGUCGGGGACAACCACUGGAAACGGUGGCUAAUACCGGAUAAGCCGAUUGGUGAAAGAUUUAUUGCCCGAAGAGGAGCUCGCGUCUGAUUAGCUAGUUGGUGAGGUAAGAGCUCACCAAGGCAGCGAUCAGUAGCUGGUCUGAGAGGACGAUCAGCCACACUGGGACUGAGACACGGCCCAGACUCCUACGGGAGGCAGCAGUGGGGAAUUUUCCGCAAUGGGCGAAAGCCUGACGGAGCAAGACCGCGUGAGGGAGGAAGGCUCUUGGGUUGUAAACCUCUUUUCUCAGGGAAGAAGCUCUGACGGUACCUGAGGAAUCAGCCUCGGCUUACUCCGUGCCAGCAGCCGCGGUAAUACGGAGGAGGCAAGCGUUAUCCGGAAUUAUUGGGCGUAAAGCGUCCGCAGGUGGCGAUUCAAGUCUGCUGUCAAAGCACGGGGCUUAACUCCGUAAAGGCAGUGGAAACUGAAUAGCUAGAGUGCCGUAGGGGUAGAGGGAAUUCCCGGUGUAGCGGUGAAAUGCGUAGAGAUCGGGAAGAACAUCGGUGGCGAAAGCGCUCUACUGGACGGCAACUGACACUCAGGGACGAAAGCUAGGGGAGCGAAUGGGAUUAGAUACCCC
rnacentral:rRNA from 1 species